ACGAACGCUGGCGGCGUGCCUAAUACAUGCAAGUUGAGCGCUGAAGGUUGGUACUUGUACCAACUGGAUGAGCAGCGAACGGGUGAGUAACGCGUGGGGAAUCUGCCUUUGAGCGGGGGACAACAUUUGGAAACGAAUGCUAAUACCGCAUAAAAACUUUAAACACAAGUUUUAAGUUUGAAAGAUGCAAUUGCAUCACUCAAAGAUGAUCCCGCGUUGUAUUAGCUAGUUGGUGAGGUAAAGGCUCACCAAGGCGAUGAUACAUAGCCGACCUGAGAGGGUGAUCGGCCACAUUGGGACUGAGACACGGCCCAAACUCCACCG
rnacentral:rRNA from 1 species